CUGGUUCCGGUUCACGUCCGUACCGUGCGGGCGACCCGGGGCACC
rnacentral:ncRNA from 1 species